rnacentral:tRNA from 2 species
GGACGUCCUGGCGGACGCGGCACGCGGGGUGAGCGUCGCGGUCGCGCACGGCGCGCUCACCCCGCUGCCGAUCCACCGGUUCGGUUUCGACGACGUCGUC